CGGGUUGUUGCUGGCCCCCAAACGGGGCAUGUGCACGCUCUGUUUACACAUCCACUCACACCUGUGCACCCUCUGUAGUUCUGUGGAUCGGGAGACGCCGUCUUCCUUCCGUAGCUCUACGUUUUUACACACACACCGUAGCGAUGUCUCAUGGAAUGUUUUUCGCGUUUAACGCAAUACAAUACAACUUUCAGCAACGGAUCUCUUGGCUCUCGCAUCGAUGAAGAACGCAGCGAAAUGCGAUAAGUAAUGUGAAUUGCAGAAUUCAGUGAAUCAUCGAAUCUUUGAACGCACCUUGCGCCCCUUGGUUAUUCCUCGGGGCAUGCCUGUUUGAGUAUCAUGAACACCUCAACUCUCAUGGUCUUCCAUGACGAGCUUGGACUUUGGGGGUUUGCUGGCCCUGUGGCCGGCUCCUCUCAAACAAAUCAGCUUGCCAGUGUUUGGCGGCGUCACGGGUGUGAUAACUAUCUACGCUCGCGGUCGUCUGCCAGGUAACCCUCAGCGAUGAAGGUUCAUUGGGGCUCAUAAACGUCUCUCCCCAGCGAGGACUACUUUUUAACGUUCGAUCUCAAAUCAGGUAGGACUACCCGCUGAACUUAAGCAUAUCAAUA
rnacentral:rRNA from 1 species